rnacentral:rRNA from 1 species
GAGCACGUAGGUGGGUUUGUAAGUCAGACGUGAAAGCCUUCUGUUCAACGGAAGAAUUGCAUCUGAAACUGCGAGUCUUGAGUAUAGGAGGGGAGAAUGGAACUUCUGGUGGAGCGGUGAAAUGCGUAGAUAUCAGAAGGAACGCCGGCGGCGAAAGCGAUUCUCUGGCCUAUUACUGACACUCAGUGUGCGAAAGCUAGGGGAGCAAACGGGAUUAGAUACCCCGGUAGUCCUAGCCGUAAACGAUGGGCACUAAGUAGAGGGAAUUACCGAUAUUCUCUCUGCCGUAGCUAACGCAUUAAGUGCCCCGCCUGGGGAGUACGGCCGCAAGGCUAAAACUCAAAAGAAUUGACGGGGGCUCGCACAAGCGGUGGAGCAUGUGGCUUAAUUCGAUGCAACGCGAAAAACCUUGCCGGGGCUUGACAUGGUAGAAGUAGGAACCCGAAAGGGUAACGAACGGUAUCCAGUCCGUAGCUAUUACAGGUGUUGCAUGGCUGUCGUCAGCUCGUGUCGUGAGACGUUGGGUUAAGUCCCCUAACGAGCGAAACCCUUGUUUUUAGUUGCCAUCGGGUUGUGCCGGGCACUCUAGAAAGACUGCCGUCGUCAAGACGGAGGAAGGUGGGGACGACGUCAAGUCAUCAUGGCCCUUAUGCCCCGGGCUGCACACGUGCUACAAUGGUCGGUACAAACGGAAGCGAAGCCGAGAGGUGAAGCGAAUCC